rnacentral:tRNA from 1 species
GAAGGUAUAGCUCAAGCAGUAGAGUGCAUGCUUAGCAUGCAUGAGGUCCUGGUUCAAUCCCCGUUACCUCCU